CUCCAGAGGACUAACUACCUUAAAGGCACAGGAUCCUGUCUGAUCUUGUAACUUAAGAAGGGUUAAUUCUGGUUAGUAUUUGGAUGGAAGACUCUACAAAAACUAGGCGCUUUACAUU
rnacentral:rRNA from 11 species